GAAUCCCGUCUUUGACACGGACUACCAAUGCUUUGUGAUGCGCUCUCAAAGAGUCGAGUUGUUUGGGAAUGCAGCUCAAAAUGGGUGGUAAAUUCCAUCUAAAGCUAAAUAUAGGCGAGAGACCGAUAGCGAACAAGUACCGUGAGGGAAAGAUGAAAAGCACUUUGGAAAGAGAGUUAAACAGUACGUGAAAUUGCUGAAAGGGAAACGCUUGAAGUCAGUCACGUCUGCCAGGACUCAGCCUCGCUUUUGCUUGGUGUACUUUCUGGUUAGAUGGGCCAACAUCAAUUUCAACCGUCGGAGAAAGGCGUCGGGAAUGCGGCACCCUCGGGUGUGUUAUAGCCCGUCGUCGUAUACGACGGUUGGGAUUGAGGAUCGCAGCACGCCUUCAUGGCCGGGGUUCGCCCACGUACGUGCUUAGGAUGUUGGCAUAAUGGCUUUAAGCGACCCGUCUUGAAACACGGACCAAGGAGUCUAACAUGCCUGCGAGUGUUUGGGUGGAAAACCCAUGCGCGUAAUGAAAGUGACAGCUGAGAUCCUCUCAUCAGGAGCAUCAGCGCCUGGACUUGGUCUACGGAGACGGUUCUACGGUAGAGCAUGUAUGUUGGGACCUGAAAGAUGGUGAACUAUGCCUGAAUAGGGUGAAGCCAGAGGAAACUCUGGUGGAGGCUCGUAGCGAUUCUGACGUGCAAAUCGAUCGUCAAAUUUGGGUAUAGGGGCGAAAGACUAAUCGAACCAUCUAGUAGCUGGUUCCUGCC
rnacentral:rRNA from 1 species